AGGACGAACGCUGGCGGCGUGCUUAACACAUGCAAGUCGAGCGGAAAGGCCCUUCGGGGUACUCGAGCGGCGAACGGGUGAGUAACACGUGAGCAACCUGCCCUUAGCUCCGGGAUAGCUCCGGGAAACCGGAAUUAAUACCGGAUACGACCACGGCUGACAUCGGCUGUGGUGGAAAGGAUUUCCGGCUAAGGAUGGGCUCGCGGCCUAUCAGCUAGUUGGUGGGCAAUGGCCCACCAAGGCGACGACGGGUA
rnacentral:rRNA from 1 species